rnacentral:rRNA from 1 species
UACAUGGGGUGCAAACGUUGCUCGGAAUUAUUGGGCGUAAAGCGCACGUAGGUGGUCUGUUAUGUCAGAUGUGAAAGCCCUCGGCUUAACUGGGGAACUGCGUCUGAGACUGGCAAGCUUGAGUGCAGGAGAGGAACGCGGAAUUCCAGGUGUAGCGGUGAAAUGCGUAGAUAUCUAGAGGAACACCCGUGGCGAAGGCGGUUCUCUGGGACGGUACUGACGCUGAGACGCGAAAGCGUGGGGAGCGAACAGG